rnacentral:rRNA from 1 species
AACGAACGCUGGCGGCAUGCCUAACACAUGCAGGUCGAACGAGACCUUCGGGUCUAGUGGCGCACGGGUGCGUAACGCGUGGGAACCUGCCCUUAGGUUCGGAAUAACUCCCCGAAAGGGGUGCUAAUACCGGAUAAUGUCUUCGGACCAAAGAUUUAUCGCCUUUGGAUGGGCCCGCGUUGGAUUAGCUAGUUGGUAGGGUAAAAGCCUACCAAGGCGACGAUCCAUAGCUGGUCUGAGAGGAUGAUCAGCCACACUGGGACUGAGACACGGCCCAGACUCCUACGGGAGGCAGCAGUGGGGAAUAUUGGACAAGGGGCGAAAGCCUGAUCCAGCAAUGCCGCGUGAGUGAUGAAGGCCUUAGGGUUGUAAAGCUCUUUUACCCGGGAUGAUAAUGACAGUACCGGGAGAAUAAGCUCCGGCUAACUCCGUG